UGGGGGAUAUUGCACAAUGGGGGGAACCCUGAUGCAGCGACGCCGCGUGAGCGAUGAAGUAUUUCGGUAUGUAAAGCUCUAUCAGCAGGGAAGAAGAUGACGGUACCUGACUAAGAAGCCCCGGCUAACUACGUGCCAGCAGCCGCGGUAAUACGUAGGGGGCAAGCGUUAUCCGGAUUUACUGGGUGUAAAGGGAGCGUAGACGGCGAUGCAAGCCUGGAGUGAAAGGCGGGGGCUCAACCCCCGGACUGCUUUGGGAACUGCAUGGCUGGAGUGUCGGAGAGGCAGGCGGAAUUCCUAGUGUAGCGGUGAAAUGCGUAGAUAUUAGGAGGAACACCAGUGGCGAAGGCGGCCUGCUGGACGAUGACUGACGUUGAGGCUCGAAAGCGUGGGGAGCAAACAGG
rnacentral:rRNA from 1 species